AACAUUUUUUUUUUUCCCCCAAUUUCUUUUUCUUUCUUCAAUUUUUUUUCCUCUACGAAGAAACCUUGGACGAAUCGUGAGAAAAUUGGUUUUGAAGAUUAGGACUGUUUGGUUUGAUUCGACACAAUACUAUUUCAAUUGGUUGGGUUUCUUUCUUCUUCCUCGGUUUAUGUUUUGAAUCUAACCAUGGAAGGUUGACUCGGCUUCGGCGAGAUUCUAUUUUGGGGACAUUGUCCCGAGAAAAAUUGAGAACUAUGGGCUUGGUAAUACAUGCAUUGUUGCGAGUUGGAAAAGGGUUUUGGAUUUGUUGGCUGGGAAUGAACCUAUGGGUUAAUAACUCACAGUUUGGCACCCUCGGCUUGGAAAAACUAAAAGACCUACGGGUUAAUGAGACAUAAGACAAAGAAAGAUCUUUGAUGAUUGGCUUGGUAGUGCAUUCACUGUUGCGAGUUGGAAAAAGAUUUUCGAUUUGUUGGCUGGGAAUGAACGUACGGGUUCUCACAAUUUGGUACCCUCGGCUUGUGAAAAUUAAAACACUUAAGACUUAAUGAGAGAUUAGACAAAGACAAAGAGUCAAAAGACUUCUAGAUGGGAAUAAAAACUUGUUGGAUGGUAAAAACGACCAGCAGGAAAUGAAUGACAUGUUGGAUGGUAAAAACGACCAGCAGGAAAUGAAUGACAUGUUGGAUGGGAAUGAAAAGAAAAUAGAUCCUUGAUGAUUGGCUUGGUAGUGCAUGCACUGUUGCGAGUUGGAAAAGGGUUUUCGAUAUGUUGGCUGGGAAUGUACCUGCGGGUUAAUAACAGAAAAGAACCAAAGAGUUCUCACAGUUUGGUACCCUCGGCUUGGCAAAAUGAAAAGACCUACGGGUUAAUGAGACAUAAGAGUAUAAGACAAAGACAAAGAGUCAAAAGACUAUGGAUGUGACUUGUUGGAUGGUAUAAACGACCAGCAGAGAAAAGUCUGACUUGUUGGAUGGGAAUGAAAAGAAAAGAAUGAUUGGUUUGGUAGUGCAUGCAUUGUUACGUCUUGGAAAAGGGUUUUCGAUUUGUUGGCUGGGAAUAAACCUACGGGUUAAUGAGACAGAAGACAAAGACAAAGAGUCCAAAUACUUUUGGAUGGGAAUAAAAAGAAAAGAGAUCCUUGAUGAUUGGCUUGGUAGUGCAUGCAUUGUUGCGAGUUUGAAAAGGGUUUUCGAUUUGUUGGCUGGGAAUGAACCUGCGGGUUAAUAACAGAAACGAACCUAAGAGUUCUGACAGUUUGGUACCCUCGGCUUGUGAAAAUUAAAAGACCUACGGCUUAAAGAGACAUAACACAAAGACAAAGAUUCAAAAGACUGUGGAUGGACUUGUUGGAUGGUAAAAACGACCAGCAGAGAAAAGACUGACGUGUUGGAUGGGAAUAAAAAGAACAGAGAUCCUUGAUUAUUGGCUUGGUAGUGCAUGCAUUGUUGCGAGUAGGAAAAGGGAUUUCGAUUUGCUGGCUGGGAAUGAACCUACGGGUUAAUAACAGAAAAGGACCUAAGAGUUCUCACAGUUUGGUAUUCUCGGCUUGGAAAAUAUAAAGGACCUACGACUUAAUGAGACAUAAGACAAAGACAAAAAGUCAAAAGACUAUGGAUGUGUGACUUGUUGGAUGGUAAAAAUGACCAGCAGAGAAAAGACUGACUUGUUGGAUUGGUAAAACCAACCAGCAGAGAAAAGAAGCCUUAAGAGAAGACAAUGAACUUAAAUAGGAAAGACUAACGAAUUCUGUUUUCGACAGGUAUGUGCUUCUGGAGAUAUUAAGACUUUGAGUAGACUCAAGUGUAGCAUACUUCUUUGACAGGUAGACGCUAUUCUAACCUUUUUGUUUUUGUUUUAUGUGCUAUUCUAACCUUUUUGUUUUUGUUUUAUGUGCGUUGCAAACUUGUUUGUAUAUGGAAAUCACAAUUGAGGUAUAUGCUUAUCUCGAUUUCUCAGGUUAAUAUUCUCUCUGAUUGCAAAUUCUCAGAGGCUUGGUAGAAACGCAUGAAACGACCACUAUGUAUUCAUGAAACUGCAUAAAUCAAAAACAAGGCUCAGUAUUUACAAAAUAACAUGUUAAGAAGCCUAGUGUGGGUUUAGCUUUGGAAAACAGGGCUAUUCAGGUUUGGAAAUAAUGGAAACUUGAGAAACCUGCUUCACGAUCUCUUAAUAUUUUGCCACUAACUCUGUUUAACUUUAGCUUCUCCUGAAUGUCUCACCUGUUUAAACAUUAUUGUCAUCAACCUGGUGAUAUAUAAUAAACAAAGAAAACUUACGGCAAUGAUAAAAAGCAUUUUGUGCACUUAAUAGAUUCAACAUCUGUUUUGCCUGGCUUCAACAGUUCACGUCUUCUGGAUUCAACCUCCAUUUUCAAUGGAUUCAGAUUUUGUUUACCAGACAAGUCAAAGAGUUGUUGACUUGGUGAUCUUGAUGAAAAAGCAAUCAGUUAUGUCUGAACUAUGACAGUUGGCUCACAAAGAUAGUCAAACUAGUUCAUUUUUAACUACAAAUUUAUCAAAUAUAUAUAUAUAUAUAUAUAUUAUAUGAAACAAAGUAUAAUCUGCUAUAGGCUUUCCUCCUCCUAAUGCAUGAAAUGACCAUGGAAGCCCAUUUCAUUAAGAGCUGAAGACUUGUUUAGUUGUUGAGGUUAUGCUAUGUUUUGUUUUCUUGAUGGAAAAGUUAUAAGAAAUGUCUUGGUUUCUUAAGUCUGAGCUGUGAUAGUUGUUGGCUCACAAAGAUACUAGUCAAACUAAAUUACAUCCCAAGUACAAAAAGAUGCUAAAGUAGUUCUCAAUUAUAGGAAACAUUGUUUAUAUAUUUUCUCGUAAAAGCUUCAAUAAAUGUGAAGUAAAGUAAAACCAAUAAAAAUAGAUCGAUCACUUUUGUAUAUUUUGUUUCCU